CCUUCCAGCCUGACGGCACCGGCCGCCCACCCUGCCCGGGACUGACUCGCCUGGGCCUACUGGACCACGCUCCCAGCUCUAAGGGGGCCCCGAAGCCUGCAGCCCGGGCCCCCCAUUCUUCCCCUCAGCCCCCUGCGCCUCCGGAGCCGCCUAAUAAAAGAACCCCCGUGUCGCA